rnacentral:rRNA from 1 species
GGCUGGUCUGUAUCAACGUUCGGAGGUGAAAUCCCGGGGCUUACCCCUGAACUGGCUUUCAAACUGGGUUGACUUGAAUGAAGGUAGGGGAGAAUGGAAUUCCUGGUGAAGCGGUAAAAUGCGCAAAUUUCAGGAGAAACCCCAGUGGCAAAGGCGGUUCUCGGGGCCUUUCUGGACCCUAAGGACCGAAAGCGUGGGGAGCAAACAGAUUAAAAUCCCCGGGUAUCCCCCGCCUGAAAACAUGGGGUACUAGGGGUGGGGUCCAUUCCACGGGUUCCGUGCCCUAACUC